AUCCAGCUGAGGAGUUCCAAAUAGGACGAAACGCGCGUCCUAAAC
rnacentral:hammerhead_ribozyme from 1 species